UGGAAGAAGAGUGAGUGCUCUUAACUGU
rnacentral:piRNA from 1 species